rnacentral:misc_RNA from 1 species
GAAAUGCGAUAAGUAGUGUGAAUUGCAGAAUUCAGUGAAUCAUCGAAUCUUUGAACGCACAUUGCGCCCUUUGGUAUUCCAAAGGGCAUGCCUGUUCGAGCGUCAUUUGUACCCUCAAGCUUUGCUUGGUGUUGGGCGUCUUUUUGUCUCCCCUUGCGGGAGACUCGCCUUAAAGUCAUUGGCAGCCGGCCUACUGGUUUCGGAGCGCAGCACAAGUCGCGCUCUCUUCCAGCCCCAAGGUCUAGCAUCCAACAAGCCUUUUUUUCAACUUUUGACCUCGGAUCAGGUAGGGAUACCCGCUGAACUUAA